rnacentral:rRNA from 1 species
AUUGAACGCUGGCGGCAUGCCUUACACAUGCAAGUCGAACGGUAACGCGGGGCAACCUGGCGACGAGUGGCGAACGGGUGAGUAAUGUAUCGGAACGUGCCCAGUUGUGGGGGAUAACUGCUCGAAAGAGCAGCUAAUACCGCAUACGACCUGAGGGUGAAAGCGGGGGAUCGCAAGACCUCGCGCAAUUGGAGCGGCCGAUAUCAGAUUAGGUAGUUGGUGGGGUAAAGGCCCACCAAGCCAACGAUCUGUAGCUGGUCUGAGAGGACGACCAGCCACACUGGGACUGAGACACGGCCCAGACUCCUACGGGAGGCAGCAGUGGGGAAUUUUGGACAAUGGACGCAAGUCUGAUCCAGCCAUGCCGCGUGCGGGAAGAAGGCCUUCGGGUUGUAAACCGCUUUUGUCAGGGAAGAAAAGGGCGACUCUAAUACAGUUGCCUCAUGACGGUACCUGAAGAAUAAGCACCGGCUAACUACGUGCCAGCCGCCGCGGUAAAAC